ACGUUUAUGUGUAAUUAACGAAAAAUUUAAUUCAUUACGACCCCACAAAAAAAAAUGAAAGAAAACGAAAUUUCAGCAAACGAAUGAAUGAUGCAAAUAGAUAGAGGCAUCCAACAAAUUCAUCAUCAAUAUCAGCAGCAGCAGCAACACCAUCAUCAUCGGAUAUAAUUAAAACAAAAUUAACCAAAAAAAA
rnacentral:sRNA from 1 species